AUGCUGGGUGUCGGGUCACUAAACAGGCCGGCUCUGUGUACUCUCCCGGCCCUCGUCGCCCUCCCUCGCUGGUGUCUGUCAAGGUGUCUUGUUCUCCCCGGCGUCCCCUCGAGCGCCCCCAGCCCAGCGGCUCUGCGGACUGUCCCGAAGUCCUGGAACCCGCGGGACGGUCAGAGGCUUUGGCGGCCAGAUGUUAGGGGAAGUGUCCGCGCUCUCCGCCGCCCCUGGGCACCCUGGCGCGCGAGCCGGCCACCGAGGGAGCCAGAGCCAUUUGAGAUAGAACUGGGAACAGGAAGCCCACUGUCUCAGAGGACUGGAUCAACAAUGGUGCUCCCCAAGUACCUGAAGGCUGCAGGAUCUCAGGGCAGUGAGGGAGAGGAAGGAAAGAACCAACGCCCUUUGUGCUCCAGGCCUGGGAUCAGAACUCAGCAGCAUCUCUUCGAGCUCUUUAAGAAGGAUUUGUUCAUUCCAGAGCCACAAUGAACAUGAACAAUAUAAACAUUCACUGAAGAUUUCACAGAGAAGACAGAAGAAAGAUUUUACAUUGUAUAUCCUACAGCAAAUAAUUUUAACAAACAUAUCCCUUAAACACUUCUGAUUUAUACUAAGCUCCUAUGUGGCCAGAGAGCCAGCAGUUUUCUUGUUUUUGUUUUUCCUGGUUUUUCUUUCCUUCUUCCUAGAUAACACUCCCCCAACACCAUCAUAUUUUUUAAACUGUUGUUAUAAAAGCUUCAACUUCACAGACUUAUCCUCCUCCUGGGACUUGGGGAAGCAAAGGGUCUCUGAACACCUGGACCCACCUACCUUCUGUAGAAGGCAGUUUAGUGACAAAUUGUUUGAUGCUUGAAAAGGCCUUAAAAUAAGCCAGUCCAUCCUCACUACUUCACCAACCUUACUUAUUAUCAUCAAAGUAUUUCUUCCAGACAUAUAAAAUGCUUUCUCUAAGAAUAAAUGACUUUCUCAAUUUCA
rnacentral:lncRNA from 12 species